AUUGAACGCUGGCGGCAUGCUUUACACAUGCAAGUCGAACGGUAACAGGUUAAGCUGACGAGUGGCGAACGGGUGAGUAAUGCAUCGGAACGUGCCCGGUCGUGGGGGAUAACGCAGCGAAAGCUGCGCUAAUACCGCAUACGAUCUGAGGAUGAAAGCGGGGGGCCGUAAGGCCUCGCGCGAUCGGAGCGGCCGAUGUCAGAUUAGGUAGUUGGUGGGGUAAAGGCUCACCAAGCCGACGAUCUGUAGCUGGUCUGAGAGGACGACCAGCCACACUGGGACAGAGACACGGCCCAGACGCCUACGGGAGGCAGCAGUGGGGAAUUUUGGACAAUGGGCGCAAGCCUGAUCCAGCAAUGCCGCGUGCAGGAAGAAGGCCUUCGGGUUGUAAACUGCUUUUGUACGGAGCGAAAAGGCUCUCUCUAAUACAGGGGGCUCAUGACGGUACCGUAAGAAUAAGCACCGGCUAACUACGUGCCAGCAGCCGCAGUAACAC
rnacentral:rRNA from 1 species